rnacentral:lncRNA from 1 species
AAUGAAAUUAAAUGGAAGUUCCUGGGGGUCACCCCCACCCCGUUCAAUUUGAGAAUGUACUAUUAUCUUGUAAAUGGUCCAGAUCCCCACCCCUAAACCAUAUAUAUUCUUGUAGGGGACAAUAAAACAAAUGAAAUGAAAUAAAAGGAAAGUCCCUAGGGGGUCACCCCACCCCCUCUUGUUUGAAAACUUGUAAACGGUCAACAUCCCCACCCCUAAACUAUAUAUAUUCUUGUAAGGGACAAAAAAAAACUAAUCAAAUGAAAUUAAAUGGAAGUUCCUUGGGGUCACCCCACCCCGUUCAAUUUGAGAAUGUACUAUUAUCUUGUAAAUGGUCCAGAUCCCCACCCCUAAACCAUAUAU